CAGCAGAGCCCACCCAGCCCAGCCUGGCGGAGACAGGGGCAGGGCCAGCCGUGUUACUUGUUCCCAAGCUGGAAGGGAAAGAAAAAAUUCCCAAGAAAAUGCAUGUCCCCAGUGGGAAAACAAACAGUACAAAGCCUGAGGAACAGCAAAUCAAGGUUGGAUGGACAACGUUAAGGGAAUGACCAAAAAGAUAUAGGUUUGUUGGAGCAAGAAGAUGACUUUUCAUUCUAGAAACUUCAUCAGGUUUUGCAGUCUGUGACUUAGAAACAACUCCUGAGAUUUCCCAGUGGUAGAAUUAUACAGAAGACCAGUAUUUAAUCAAAAAGUUCAGAAAUGAAUGAAGACUUCUAAACCUGUAGUAGCUGCCUGUGAAGCACUAGAGCAUGGAACACGGAGGCAAUAUUUUCUUUUGACUUACUGUGAAAUGGAAAAUGUGAAAACACCAUGCAGGGUGAUGAAGGGGGACAUACAUCCACUUGCUGGAGG